GGAUGAGCCCGCGGCCUAUCAGCUUGUUGGUGAGGUAAUGGCUCACCAAGGCGACGACGGGUAGCCGGCCUGAGAGGGUGACCGGCCACACUGGGACUGAGACACGGCCCAGACUCCUACGGGAGGCAGCAGUGGGGAAUAUUGCACAAUGGGCGAAAGCCUGAUGCAGCAACGCCGCGUGAGGGAUGACGGCCUUCGGGUUGUAAACCUCUUUUAGUAGGGAAGAAGCGAAAGUGACGGUACCUGCAGAAAAAGCACCGGCUAACUACGUGCCAGCAGCCGCGGUAAUACGUAGGGUGCAAGCGUUGUCCGGAAUUAUUGGGCGUAAAGAGCUCGUAGGCGGUUUGUCGCGUCUGCUGUGAAAUCCCGAGGCUCAACCUCGGGCUUGCAGUGGGUACGGGCAGACUAGAGUGCGGUAGGGGAGAUUGGAAUUCCUGGUGUAGCGGUGGAAUGCGCAGAUAUCAGGAGGAACACCGAUGGCGAAGGCAGAUCUCUGGGCCGUAACUGACGCUGAGGAGCGAAAGCGUGGGGAGCGAACAGGAUUAGAUACCCUGGUAGUCCACGCCGUAAACGUUGGGCGCUAGAUGUAGGGACCUUUCCACGGUUCCUGUGUCGUAGCUAACGCAUUAAGCGCCCCCGCCUGGGGAAGUACGGGCGCAAACUAAAACU
rnacentral:rRNA from 1 species